rnacentral:rRNA from 1 species
CGGAGGGGGCUAGCGUUGUUCGGAAUUACUGGGCGUAAAGGGCGCGUAGGCGGUUUGGUAAGUUAGGCGUGAAAGGCCCGGGCUCAACCCGGGAACUGCGCUUAAGACUGCCGGGCUGUGAGUCCGGGAGAGGAUGGCGGAAUUCCCAGUGUAGAGGUGAAAUUCGUAGAUAUUGGGAAGAACACCAGUGGCGAAGGCGGCCAUCUGGCCCGGUACUGACGCUGAGGCGCGAAAGCGUGGGGAGCAA